rnacentral:rRNA from 1 species
GAUGAACGCUGACAGAAUGCUUAACACAUGCAAGUCGAUGGGGAAGUGGUGCUUGCACCAUGGUAACCAUGGCGGACGGGUGAGUAACGCGUAAGGAACUUGCCUGCGGGACCGGGAUAACAGCAGGAAACUGCUGACAAGACCGGAUAAGGUCAUGAAGCUGCAUAGCUUAGUGAUGAAAGGAGACGCCUGCGGAGAGCCUUGCGUCCUAUUAGCUAGUUGGAGGGGUAACGGCCCACCAAGGCGAAGAUAGGUAGCCGGCCUGAGAGGGUGGACGGCCACAAGGGGACUGAGAUACGGCCCUUACUCCUACGGGAGGCAGCAGUGGGGAAUAUUGGACAAUGGGGGCAACCCUGAUCCAGCAAUUCUGUGUGCACGAAGACGGUUUUCGGAUUGUAAAGUGCUUUCAGCAGGGAAGAAGUAAGUGACGGUACCUGCAGAAGAAGCGACGGCUAAAUACGUGCCAGCAGCCGCGGUAAUACGUAUGUCGCGAGCGUUAUCCGGAAUUAUUGGGCAUAAAGGGCAUCUAGGCGGCCUUUCAAGUCAGGGGUGAAAACCUGCGGCUCAACCGCAGGCCUGCCUUUGAAACUGAUAGGCUGGAGUACCGGAGAGGUGGACGGAACUGCACGAGUAGAGGUGAAAUUCGUAGAUAUGUGCAGGAAUGCCGAUGAUGAAGAUAGUUCACUGGACGGUAACUGACGCUGAAGUGCGAAAGCCGGGGGAGCGAACAGG